CCCAGACUCCUACGGGAGGCAGCAGUGGGGGAUAUUGCACAAUGGGGGGAACCCUGAUGCAGCGACGCCGCGUGGGUGAAGAAGUAUUUCGGUAUGUAAAGCCCUAUCGGCAGGGAAGAAAUUGGACGGUACCUGACUAAGAAGCCCCGGCUAACUACGUGCCAGCAGCCGUGGUAAUACGUAGGGGGCAAGCGUUAUCCGGAUUCACUGGGUGUAAAGGGAGCGUAGACGGCCAUGCAAGCCUGGAGUGAAAGCCCGGGGCCCAACCCCGGGACUGCUCUGGGAACUGUGCGGCUGGAGUGCGGGAGGGGCAGGCGGAAUUCCUGGUGUAGCGGUGAAAUGCGUAGAUAUCAGGAGGAACACCGGCGGCGAAGGCGGCCUGCUGGACCGCGACUGACGUUGAGGCUCGAAAGCGUGGGGAGCAAACAGGAUUAGAUACCCCGGUAU
rnacentral:rRNA from 1 species